rnacentral:lncRNA from 1 species
CCCGAGUCCAGUGUGAUUUAUGAUUUACUGUUAUUUGGCCUGUUUUACAGCAUUAAAUGCAUUAUGAGGUUUGAUGUGUUCAUUUUAUAGUUUCGAGUGCAUAUAUUACUGUUUUAUUUAUUUAUGGGUUGAAAGACUGAAGAACUGAUACUGUAUGUUGUCUGUUUGGCAUGAAUUACGAUUUGCUUUCUUAAAUGUGAAUUGAUGAUGCUUAUUGAGG